AAUGAACGCUGGCGGCGCGCCUAAUACAUGCAAGUCGAGCGAGAAGACGUAGCAAUACGUUUGUAAAGCGGCGAACGGGUGAGGAAUACAUGGGUAACCUACCCUAGAGUGGGGAAUAACUAGCCGAAAGGUUAGCUAAUACCGCGUACGCUCCUUGGACCUCGGUUCAGGGAGGAAAGCGAUGCCGAGGGUAUCGCGCUCUUGGAUGGGCUCAUGUCCUAUCAGCUUGNGGUGAGGUAACGGCUCACCAAGGCUUCGACGGGUAGCUGGUCUGAGAGGACGAUCAGCCACACUGGCACUGCGACACGGGCCAGACUCCUACGGGAGGCAGCAGUAAGGAAUAUUGCGCAAUGGGCGAAAGCCUGACGCAGCGACGCCGCGUGGGGGA
rnacentral:rRNA from 1 species